GACGAACGGUGCGAACGUUGUUCGGAAUCACUGGGCUUAAAGGGCGCGUAGGCGGGCUGUCAAGUCUGGGGUGAAAUCUCGAGGCUCAACCUCGGAACUGCCUUUGAUACUGGAAAUCUUGAGUCUGGGAGAGGUGAGUGGAACUGCGAGUGUAGAGGUGAAAUGCGUAGAUAUUCGCAAGAACACCGGUGGCGAAGGCGGCUCACUGGCCCGGAACUGACGCUGAGGCACGAAAGCGUGGGGAGCAAACAGG
rnacentral:rRNA from 1 species